rnacentral:rRNA from 1 species
UGGGGAAUAUUGCACAAUGGGGGAAACCCGUGAUGCAGCGACGCCGCGUGAGCGAAGAAGUAUCUCGGUAUGUAAAGCUCUAUCAGCAGGGAAGAAAAUGACGGUACCUGACUAAGAAGCCCCGGCUAACUACGUGCCAGCAGCCGCGGUAAUACGUAGGGGGCAAGCGUUAUCCGGAUUUACUGGGUGUAAAGGGUGCGCAGGCGGCGCGAAAAGUCAGCGGUCAAAGUUCCGGGCUCAACCCGGUGACGCCGUUGAAACUUUCGUGCUGGAGUUCGUGCGAGGGAGGCGGAAUGCGUUGUGUAGCGGUGAAAUGCAUAGAUAUGACGCAGAACCCCGAUUGCGAAGGCAGCUUUCCAGCACGCGACUGACGCUGAGGCACGAAAGCGUGGGGAGCGAACAGGAUUAGAUACCCUGGUAGU